UUAUCCUUUAAGAACCACUGAAAUCGCACAAAUUCUUUUCUCAAAGAAGUGCGUAAUAAUAAACAAACUGAAUAAUUCGCUAUUUAGUAAAACAUGAAAGUCUAUUGUUUUACAAAAAAAAAAGGAGAUCUCGAAGGUAUAAGGGAACAGAACGAUAGAGGGCGAUCGUAGCGCGAAAGGGGAAAGCAAGUACGGAUCGAGUAGAGGAAGGGGGAGGGGAUAUUUUUUAACACGAGAGAAGGCGGUUGUGUAGUGGCAGAGGACCGUGGCUACGGCGGGCGGUGAUUCAGGCCCUUAUCUACUUAAAAUUUCUACUUGAAACAAAACCCACUGACGAAUAAAGUCCGAUUAAAAAUCGGUGUGUCUGUGCAUUCCUAAAAAAAAAGUUCUCGAUAGCAUACAAUAAAAAAAAACAAUCCAGAUUCCAUCCAGUAUCGUAAAUGCCAGAUUAAUAUCGCCGAGUUCGUGAUAAAAACGCAACGGAGUUUCAUUUUAUUUUCUCCUCGUUUCCGACGGUAUUUUCAUUGGAUCUGUACGUUCGCGAGUGCAGUGAAAUCACGAAAUCGAAGAAGAAAAAACAGGAGAACAAAUUCGAAAAAAAGAAAAACAACAAAGUGCAAGCGUAUCUCGAUGCGGCGGGGUGUCUACCCGUGUGUGAAUCACGCUCUUGCCUCGGCGCCCGGCUGUCCCGAGUUUUCUUCGUGACCACGACAUUGACCCGCGAGUAUUACAUGGCAGUCAAUAAAGGAAAAAAAUUGUGAAUAAUAAUACAUGGAUAAGCCGUGGAAUAAGAAAAUAUAAAACGACUUCAGUGGGAAAGUAUAAUUGCUCCGAACAAAACCUGUAACAUUUCGAUUUCCCCCUCCCUCUCCUUCAAGUUUCCCGUCCUUUCAAUUCACUUUUGCAUAUAUCUCCGUCUUUCUCUCGCUAAAAUCGUGCUACCGAGAGCUUCCCAAAGAGACACAGAGCUAACAAAACCCACGAGGGUUACGCUGAUUCAUCCGCGAUGUAUCUUCUCGGAAAAUACCUUUUUAUUCUCUCAUCCACGUGAUACACGUAUAUACUAUACGUUAAAAGAACGAAAAAAAAACAACAUGCCCGAAUAACGUUCGGAUACAGAGAUUUUUGAAAAAAAAAACGAAACAAUGCGGGAUUGAAACAAUCUCAUAAAUUUCAUUGUUUUUUUUUUAAGUGUCAACAAACUGUGCGUUUCAUUACGACGUCAUCUUACGUGGAAUAUCCUUUUUACAAGGAAUCUCCAUGUUUGUACCUAUAAUUGUUUAUCGCCACGCCGGAUUACCCUUCUUUUGAUACUCGAACCACCAGCCGACAAAACUCAGAGAGCGAAAAAUUCUAACGUUUUUCAAACGAAUUCGAACGUUUUUCACCCACAAUAGUGAAACUCAACGAAUUCGAAGAAAAUUCGAUGAGAAUUCCUUUUUCAAAAGGUCUCAAUCGUGUAACAAAGCGGACUGUGAUUCUGCAAAAAAUUGUGAUUCGCUUAAAAAUAUUACUGCGCAAGCCUUCGUAGCUGUAGAAUAAAAAGUCCAAAAUUCUUGACAGCAGGAAUCUCAUCGGUGAUAAAACAACAUCAUUUUUUUCAACAAAUCAAACUCCAGCCAAAUUUAUCAACAAAGUUCUCCAAUCUUUUUUCCCAUUUUUGGCAACGUCGCUGUCUAUUCCAAGCUUCAAUAAACUACAUAGAAAAUUAUUACGUGCCUAAACGAGAGAACGGUGACGCAGCGACGGAGGACGGACAAGCGAAGCAAAGACCAAAGAAGGAGCGUCGUCAUGUCGGACGAAGAAGACAAACCACCUGCGCCACCCGUCCGACUCACCUCAAACAGAGGUGAAUCGACGCCGAAUCUGCCGGUGGACAUGCGGCCACUACCGAAGGAGCCGGACUCGGACGAGCGAAAGAAGAAAACGCUGAAAGGAAAGAUGAAGGUGAAGGAGAACAAGGACAAGCCUAACAUUAGUUUACCAACAAAUUUCGAGCACACGGUACACGUCGGGUUCGAUGCUGUUACCGGGGACUUCACGCUGCCACUAAAAGGGAUGCCGGAAGCAUGGGCGAGACUUCUCAUGUCGAGCAACAUCAGCAAACAGGAACAGAAGAAAAAUCCACAGGCUGUUUUAGACGUUUUGAACUGGUACGACAACAGUAGCAAGGAAGCUAAAGGCUCUAAAUAUAUGACGACCACGAAAAUGGUCGGGAUCGUCGCAUCGAUAGAAAGAGAGAGCAGUCCCCGAAGCGUUGGAAUGGGAGUCGGAAUCGGCAUUGGAAAUGUGCGAGGUCAAGCGAUGUCACAGGCGUCGGGGAGUUCGCAUUCGCAGCAUUCGUUGAGCAGAGUGAGCAGUAGUAGUCCGAGCAGCACGCCAACAGACGCAUGUGCGACGAGUUCGGAGCAAGAAGAUGAGCCGCCACCCCCACCGAUAUCCGCGAGACCGGAACGCACGAAAUCGAUCUACACGAAACCUAUCGAGGAGGAACCACCGUCGUCGAUUCCGACGACUCUUGGAUCGCCCCAACACAAUGGCACGCAGCAACAACAACCCCAAUCCCAACUCGACAGAAAUAAAAAUCAAGCGACUCCGACGCCGACCGUUCCUGAUCAAUCCCGGCCUACGCAAAGCGAUAAAGCCAGAAAGAAGAAAAUGUCCGAUGAGGAAAUACUCGAAAAGCUCAGAACCAUCGUUAGCGUUGGGGAUCCCAACAGAAAAUACACGAAAAUGGAAAAAAUUGGACAGGGUGCUUCCGGUACCGUAUACACAGCAAUUGAGACAUCGACCGGGAUGGAAGUAGCGAUAAAACAGAUGAAUCUUGAGCAUCAGCCGAAGAAAGAACUGAUAAUAAACGAGAUAUUAGUUAUGCGGGAAAACAAGCAUCCAAACGUCGUUAAUUAUCUCGAUAGUUAUCUCGUUGGCCAAGAAUUAUGGGUUGUGAUGGAAUAUUUGCCGGGUGGAAGUUUGACGGAUGUUGUGACAGAGACAUGUAUGGACGAGGGUCAAAUAGCAGCGGUUUGUCGAGAAGUUUUACAAGCUCUGGAGUUUCUACAUUGCAAUCAAGUCAUACACAGGGAUAUUAAGUCCGACAAUAUUCUUCUGGGUCUCGAUGGCGGCGUUAAAUUAACCGAUUUCGGUUUCUGUGCACAAAUAUCACCUGAACAAAGUAAAAGGACUACCAUGGUCGGGACGCCCUACUGGAUGGCGCCUGAAGUCGUCACGAGAAAGCAAUACGGUCCUAAAGUAGAUAUCUGGUCCUUGGGAAUAAUGGCCAUAGAAAUGAUAGAAGGUGAGCCUCCGUACUUGACGGAAAAUCCUCUGAGAGCGUUGUAUUUGAUUGCAACGAAUGGAAAGCCCGACAUAAAGGAGAAGGAAAAGUUGACGGCAAUAUUUCAAGAUUUUUUGGAUCAGUGUUUAGAGGUUGAAGUUGAAAAGCGUUCAUCGGCUUCCGAACUAUUGAAGCAUCCGUUCCUCAAACUGGCGAGGCCUCUCGCCUCAUUAACACCACUAAUAAUGGCAGCUAAGGAGGCGGCAAAGGGACACUGAGUGCUGUGUACGAUAAGGAGAGAUAAAAGAACGUGCGAGUCAAAAAUCAUGCGAAAGAGAAGGGACUUGCUUGGCGGAAAACGAAAGAAAAAAACAAAUAUAUUAAAAAUCACCCUCCCAAAACGUUUUUCGAGAAACGUACACACGAAUGGGAAAACUCUCCGAUAAUCGUUCAACUCAGAAAAUAAGAAGGAAUUAAAUACUUGUAUUGCACUGGAACAAGCGAUAUAUAUAAAUAUUGUUUCAUAAAAAAAAAACGAGCAAACUGUAAACAUUGUAUUUGAAAUUUGACCAGUUUGAAAAUGAGUUACUUUAUUUCAAAUCGACAUCCACGAUUACUCAAUUCGUGUCUUCGAAAACGUCUCUUAUUAUUAUAAUAUACGAAACGAAGAUCUCUCGCUUUUGUUUAAAGAGUCGAAAGCGCUUCAUUGUCGAUAAGUAUCGAUUGCCAUUGAAAAGUGAGACUUGGACUUGACGAAGUAAAUUCAGUAUUUUGGAAAUGAGAGAGAGUAAGAGCAGAGGAACGAACAAAAACAAACUUUCAACGUUACUAUGUUUCACAGCAAUUGCUCCAAAUUUUUUAAUCCUAAAUUGUAAAGAGGUAUUUUAGAAAGAUAGCGAGAAUAUAAUUAUGCACGUUUAGUAUUAGUGAAGAAUAUUAUUAUGGCAAGGUUGAGAAUGGAAUUGAAGUUUGUGUCGUUGGAGCAAAGCGAAAUGUGCAUUUUUCAUUUUAUCUUCCAUCGAUAUUUUUUGCAUGCUUGAAAAUCUGUAAGAUUCGAAGAACUUACAAUCCUGGAUGUGAUUUUACGGAUACGAUGUUGAGGAAAAAAGAGGGGGUGCAACGACGCAAACUUCAAAAUUUUGGACAAGAGACGACCUCGAAGGGUUGAGAUACUGAAACAUAUUAUUAGGCAAAAGGCCGUAAGGGAGAUUCUGCAUUUUCACAAAUAUCUUCGAUGCUGAAGCAAAAAAGGGUGAAUGAGGAGAAAAAUAAUAGACGAAAUUAUUUGCGUCAUCGUAUUGUUAUCUUAGUUAUCGUAAAUACAUUUUCAGUUGGUAGCAGCUUUUAUCAUAAUAAGUCUACAAAUCUUGUCUAGAAAAAUCCCGAGGUUCGACGAGAUUGCAGAGAAAAAAACAUUCGCCAUAUCAUUCGUUACACCAGUGCUGACCCGCAAUCAUUUUUCAGCGUGUCAUUCAAAUUUCUUUUGAUUUUUUUUUUCGUUUUCGUUUUUUUUUUGCAUUCGAGGCCGACCUCGGGUUUAUCAUUCAAAGUGCAUUUAAGUAUCCGUGUAAGAAGCGUAUUAUUACCGUUUUAGAACAGUGAGGAUAGGUUCCUAUUAUGAAAUCAGGUUUAAGAGUCUAUAUUGCAUGUUUUUUCGUAGCUGCUUUUUAAAAAUGAUGUUUCUGAAAAUGCUUCGUGAUCUCGUGAACGUAAAAGUGCCAGGCCUAGCAAAGAAAAAGAAACAAAGAAAAACGAAGAAAACCACACACACAAACUAUUUUCUUGGAAGAUCUUUUAAGUCUUCGUGAAAGCAAUGAAAGUUAUUUUUAUGAUUUACACCGUAAAAUUUUUUACAUUGAAAAUUAUAAUAAUAAAGAAAAGAUUCACCCCGAAGGGAGAAAAUGUCGAACCUGAUUUUUCAGGGGUCAAGAAGGUAACGAUUUUUUAAGCGACAAUGAAUUUGAGAGUAUACUAUAGAGGCGUGGAUGGCAGCAACAAAUUAUAAUGAAUUAUUGUUAAGUCUACAGAUUAAUGCCCACAAGUUUCGGUGCAUAUUUAUCUACAUACGCUGGGACCCAGGUCAAACCGAGUUACAAGUUACAAUUCGAAAUAAAUGGGACGGAACAUGAGCCAGAAAUCUAAAGAUUCAACUCAAAAGUCCUUAAACGCUACUUGUUUAGUGCUCGUUCAACUGAGUUAUCUAGAAUUUUAUGUUACCGACUAAAUCUAGCUCAUAACGAGACCAGACAACGAUAAAUAUGACAUUCAGAGCUUGGCCAUAAUUUCCCUUCUUCGCAGUCUUCUUCGACAAGUCCCCAGUGAGCACAAUAGAAAAGUUUUUCUAAUUUACGAAAUGCAUCUUUAAAAAAUGACAAUUUCACUUAAUAUAAUAUUGCUUUUUUUAUAAAAGUGUUUGAAAUAAUUGUGAAAAGCGAUACCGCAAUGAGUAGUUUAAAGUGAUUGAGUCAUUUUGAAUCGAUGCACUUUUGCUUUAGACUUGAGAAGUUCAAUCUUGUAGUUAAGCUUCAUUUGUCAAAUUCCUUCGACUUCUUUUGUUCCAUUUAUUGGACUUUUAUGUUGCCAAAAUGCUGUGUAAGUUUAAGAAAAGUUGAAACUUUGUUUAUCUCGAAUAAGUGAACGAUUAAAACAUUUUUUCGAUGAAGAAACAUGCUCAGUUGGAAGAAUUGGAAUUAUUGUGGUCGACUCGAUUAGAAUCGUUCCUCGUAACCCGCUCGUUUGUUCUGGGCUGCGAAGCAAUAUGUACCUAUGACUGUAACUCUUAUCAAUUUAUUUUGUUCUUCUUUUUUGAAAGAUUACAAUAUAAGAAAAACAUUUUAUAACAAAAA
rnacentral:misc_RNA from 1 species